rnacentral:rRNA from 1 species
UACGGAGGGUGCGAGGGUUGUCCGGAAUCACUGGGCGUAAAGGGCGCGUAGGCGGCUCGAUAAGCGUGUGGUGAAAGCCUGGGGCUCAACCCCGGGUCGGCCAUGCGAACUGUCGAGCUGGAGCACUGUAGAGGCAGGCGGAAUUCCUGGUGUAGCGGUGAAAUGCGCAGAUAUCAGGAGGAAUACCAGCGGCGAAGGCGGGUCUCUGGGCCGAUACUGACGCUGAGGAGCGAAAGCGUGGGGAGCGAACAGG